rnacentral:rRNA from 1 species
GACGAACGCUGGCGGCGUGCUUAACACAUGCAAGUCGAGCGAGACCCCGCUUUCGGGUGGGUGUUCUAGCGGCGAACGGGUGAGUAACACGUGGGCAACCUGCCCUCAGCUCUGGGAUAACUCCAAGAAAUUGGGGCUAAUACCGGAUAUGACCGCUGACCGCAUGGUCUGGUGGUGGAAAGAUUUAUCGGCUGGGGAUGGGCCCGCGGCCUAUCAGCUUGUUGGUGGGGUAGUGGCCUACCAAGGCGACGACGGGUAGCCGGCCUGAGAGGGUGACCGGCCACACUGGGACUGAGACACGGCCCAGACUCCGACGGGAGGCAGCAGUGGGGAAUACUGCGCAAUGGGCGAAAGCCUGGCGCAGCGGCGCCGCGUGGGGGAUGACGGCCUUCGGGUUGUAAACCUCUUUCAGCAGGGACGAAGCGAAAGUGACGGUACCUGCAGAAGAAGCACCGGCCAACUACGUGCCAGCCGCCGCGGUAA